rnacentral:rRNA from 1 species
UGGGGAAUAUUGCACAAUGGGCGCAAGCCUGAUGCAGCCAUGCCGCGUGUGUGAAGAAGGCCUUCGGGUUGUAAAGCACUUUCAGUCGUGAGGAAGGCGGGUACGUUAAUAGCGUAUUCGUUUGACGUUAGCGACAGAAGAAGCACCGGCUAACUCCGUG